rnacentral:misc_RNA from 1 species
GCCGUAGCCACAAUGCGCAAUGAUUUUGCAGCAUCUAAUUUGGAAGAAUGCUUACUAGCUAAAGGAGUGCUUUAUAUUCAAGUAAUUCCUAUGGGUGGAAAUAAAUUCCUCCUCUCCAUUGAAUCGAAAGAGCUUAUGGAUGGUUUUAUUGCAGAAUAUUACUCUUGGGUCACUCAAUGGAUUUUUUAACACCGGGAAGCUCUAUGUACACCUUUGAAUCGGCUAGCAUGGCUGAGACUCUAAGGAGUACCUCUCAACGCCCCGUCUAACCACCUCUUUGAGUAGGUAGCGAGUUUCUUUGGGAAAUAAGUCCCUGUGGACGGUCCAACUCACGCUAAAGCAAGGUUGGAUUCAGCAAGGAUCUUAAUCUCAACUGCUCACCAAGGUCCCAUUAACAAAUCUCUUGUAGUGGAUUUAGAGAGCAAUCCUUUUAAUAUUAAUGUAUCAGAUUCAUGCAGCAAGGUACCAGCCAGCUCUUCCCUUAGACACUGGCAAGGAAGAAGAAGAUGAUGAUGUGGAUGGCUCAAAUGGAAUUGACGAGUUAGAGGAUGCCAAAAUGAUCGUAGCAGUCCCUGAAGACUCGCCUACAGGGGAUGCCGCUACUUCUCUCCAGUCGUCUGACAUGGAGAACCAAUUCGUUGCACCUGGCAAUCACUGUCAAAUUAAUCUCGUUGCAGAGUCUCCAGCUGCCAACCUUGGGUCACCAAACUACAGCCGACUUCGUCAGUGCGGCAAUUCUCGGUCCUUUGACCUUCUGGCAGCUGCCAUUGCAGAAAGUUGUUUAUGAGAGUGUGCUUUUUCUGCUCAGCGUGAACUGGGCUUCCUGGACCCUUGCUCCUCUAAUCUAAAUCAACUGGUUUCCCCUUCCUAUGUUUCCGACCCCAAUGUCUUGGCUGUCGUUCCUUUUGAGCCCCCUGAAGAUUUCUUGCUUGCAGUCCACCCUAGGACUUCCUCCAUUGUGCAAAGCUGUGUUAAAGUUUGCAGAUUGCUAAAACAGAGGAAAAAGAAAACCAAGUUCAUCUCAGAGCUUUUUGAUUUGUCCCCAAAACUCUCCCGAGUCGGCAAGAGAAAAAAAAUCUCAAAAGGGAAACGAUCAAAUUCUCCAGUUGUGUCUGGAAGCCAAAUAGAAGAGCCUGCACACAGUGACAUCUGCAGCAUGAACUCUCAUCAUCGGAGCUUAAUUCAAGGCACUCCGGUGUCUCCUGCAC